rnacentral:rRNA from 1 species
GACGAACGCUGGCGGCGUGCCUAAUACAUGCAAGUAGAACGCAGUUGCGAACGCGUGAGUAUCGCGUAGGUAACUUCCUCAUAGCGGGGGAUAACUAUUGGAAACGAUAGCUAAUACCGCAUACUGUGAGCUGGACCUGCGUUGUAUUAUCUAGUUGGUGAGGUAAAGGCCCACCAAGGCGCCGAUACAUAGCCGACCUGAGAGGGUGAGGGGCCACACUGGGACUGAGACACGGCCCAGAACCCCUCGGGGGGCAGCAGUAGGGAAUCUUUGGCAAUGGACGGAAGGCUGACCGAGCAACGCCGCGGGAGUGAAGAAGGUUUUCGGAACGGAAAGCUCUGUUGUGAGAGAAGCGUUAACUAACCAGAAAGGGACGGCUAACUACGUGCCAGCAGCCGCGGUAAUUC